UACAGAGGGGGCAAGCGUUGUUCGGAAUUACUGGGCGUAAAGGGCGCGUAGGCGGCCUGUUAAGUCGAACGUGAAAUCCCCGGGCUCAACCCGGGAACUGCGUCCGAUACUGGAUGGCUUGAAUUCGGGAGAGGGAUGCAGAAUUCCAGGUGUAGCGGUGAAAUGCGUAGAUAUCUGGAGGAAUACCGGUGGCGAAGGCGGCAUCCUGGACCGACAUUGACGCUGAGGCGCGAAAGCUAGGGGAGCAAACGGG
rnacentral:rRNA from 1 species